rnacentral:rRNA from 1 species
UUCUUCGGAUGAAUUCAUUUGUGACUGAGCGGCGGACGGGUGAGUAACGCGUGGGUAACCUGCCUCAUACAGGGGGAUAACAGUUGGAAACGACUGCUAAUACCGCAUAAGCGCACAGUACCGCAUGGUACAGUGUGAAAAACUCCGGUGGUAUGAGAUGGACCCGCGUCUGAUUAGCUAGUUGGUGAGGUAACGGCCCACCAAGGCGACGAUCAGUAGCCGGCCUGAGAGGGUGAACGGCCACAUUGGGACUGAGACACGGCCCAAACUCC